rnacentral:rRNA from 1 species
CCUACGGGAGGCAGCAGUGAGGAAUAUUGGUCAAUGGACGAGAGUCUGAACCAGCCAAGUAGCGUGAAGGAUGACUGCCCUAUGGGUUGUAAACUUCUUUUAUAAAGGAAUAAAACGAGGCACGUGUGCCUUUUUGCAUGUACUUUAUGACUAAGGAUCGGCUAACUCCGUGCCAGCAGCCGCGGUAAUACGGAGGAUCCGAGCGUUAUCCGGAUUUAUUGGGUUUAAAGGGAGCGUAGAUGGGUUGUUAAGUCAGUUGUGAAAGUUUGCGGCUCAACCGUAAAAUUGCAAUUGGUACUGGCAGUCUUGAGUACAGUUGAGGUAAGCGGAAUUCGUGGUGUAGCGGUGAAAUGCUUAGAUAUCACGAAGAACCCCGAUUGCGAAGGCAGCUUACUAAACUGUGACUGACAUUGAUGCUCGAAAGUGUGGGUAGCAAACAGGAUUAGAUACCCGUGUAGUC